AGCGGCGAACGGGUGAGUAACACGUGGGUGACCUGCCCUCCACUCCGGGAUAAGCCUGGGAAACCGGGUCUAAUACCGGAUAGGACCUCUGGGUGCAUGCCUGGUGGUGGAAAGUUUUUUCGGUGGGGGAUGGGCCCGCGGUCUAUCAGCUUGUUGGUGGGGUGAUGGCCUACCAAGGCGACGACGGAUAGCCGGCCUGAGAGGGUGAUCGGCCACACUGGGACUGAGACACGGCCCAGACUCCUACGGGAGGCAGCAGUGGGGAAUCUUGCGCAAUGGGCGGAAGCCUGACGCAGCAACGCCGCGUGAGGGAUGACGGCCUUCGGGUUGUAAACCUCUUUCGCGAUCGACGAAGGUCCGGUUUUUGCCGGGCUGACGGUAGGUCGAGAAGAAGCACCGGCCAACUACGUGCCAGCAGCCGCGGUAAUACGUAGGGUGCGAGCGUUGUCCGGAAUUAUUGGGCGUAAAGAGCUCGUAGGCGGUGUGUCGCGUCGGCCGUGAAAACCUGGGGCUCAACUCUGGGCGUGCGGUCGAUACGGGCAUCACUUGAGUUCGGCAGGGGAGACUGGAAUUCCUGGUGUAGCGGUGAAAUGCGCAGAUAUCAGGAGGAACACCGGUGGCGAAGGCGGGUCUCUGGGCC
rnacentral:rRNA from 2 species